AGAGUUUGAUUCUGGCUCAGAACGAACGCUGGCAGCGUGGAUUAGGCAUGCAAGUCGAACGGGAAGCUUUGGAUUCAAGUUUUCGGACGAGAAACUGAAGUGGAGAGUGGCGAAAGGGUGAGUAACGCGUGGGUAACCUACCCCAAAGUUCGGGACAACCAGCCGAAAGGCUGGCUAAUACCGGAUGUGGUCUCCUGGCGCAUGUCAGGAUGAUUAAAGAUGGGGAUUCUUCGGAACCUGUCUCUUUGAGAGGGGCCCGCGUACCAUCAGCUUGUUGGUGAGGUAAUGGCUCACCAAGGCUUACGGUUAGCCGGCCUGAGAGGGUGAUCGGCCACACUGGGACUGAGACACUGCCCAGACUCCUACGGGAGGCUGCAGUCGAGGAUCAUUGACAAUGCGCGAAAGCGUGAUCAUGCGACGCUGCGUGGAGGAUGACGGCCUUAGGGUUGUAAACUCCUGUCAUUCGGGAAAAAUUGCGCGGGGAUUAAUACUUCCUGCGAUUGAUGUUACCGGAAGAGGGAGCCACGGCUAACUCUGUGCCAGCAGCCGCGGUAAUACAGAGGUGGCGAGCGUUGUUCGGAUUUACUGGGCGUAAAGCGUGCGUAGGUGGUUUCGUAUGUCGGAUGUGAAAGCCCACGGCUCAACCGUGGAAUUGCAUCCGAAACUGCGAUGCUAGAGUGCAGGAUGGGAGAGCGGAAUUCUUGGUGUAGUGGUGAAAUGCGUUGAUAUCAAGAAGAACACCGGUGGCGAAGGCGGCUCUCUGGAAUGCUACUGACACUGAGGCACGAAAGUUGGGGUAGCAAACAGGAUUAGAUACCCUGGUAGUCCCAACCGUAAACGGUGUGCACUUGGUGUGGGGGGAAUUAACCCCCUCCGUGCCGGAGCUAACGCGUUAAGUGCACCGCCUGGGGAGUACGGCCGCAAGGCUAAAACUCAAAGAAAUUGACGGGGGCCCGCACAAGCGGAGGAGCAUGUGGCUUAAUUCGAUGCAACGCGAAGAACCUUACCAGGGCUUGACAUGCAGCUGCACGUCUCCCGAAAGGGAGAAAGCUUUCGAAGGCCUGCACAGGUGCUGCAUGGCUGUCGUCAGUUCGUGCCGUGAGGUGUUGGGUUAAGUCCCGCAACGAACGCAACCCCUAUGUUUAGUUGCCACCCUAGAUUUAUCUUGGAGCACUCUAGACAGACUGCCCGUACAAGCGGGAGGAAGGUGGGGACGACGUCAAGUCAGUAUGGCCCUUACGCCCUGGGCUGCACACGUGCUACAAUGGUCGGUACAAAGGGAUGCAAUGCCGCGAGGUGGAGCAAAUCCCCAAAACCGGCCUCAGUUCGGAUUGGAGUCUGCAACUCGACUCCAUGAAGUCGGAUUCGCUAGUAACGGCGCAUCAGCUACGGCGCCGUGAAUACGUUCCCGGGCCUUGUACACACCGCCCGUCACAUCAUGAAAGCCGUCUGCACCUGAAGUCGCUGAGCCAACUUUAACGAGAGGCAGGUGCCCAAGGUGUGGGUGGUGAUU
rnacentral:rRNA from 1 species